AAUGAACGCUGGCGGCGUGCUUAACACAUGCAAGUCGCACGAGAACACCUCAGCUUGCUGGGGUAAGUAAAGUGGCGCACGGGUGAGUAACGCGUGGGUAAUCUGCCCUCGAAUCUGGGAUAACCCCGCGAAAGCGGGGCUAAUACCGGAUGAAAUCCAGUUAGCUUUGGCUAUAUGGAUCAAAGGUGGCCUCUGCAUGCAAGCUACUGUUUGGGGAUGAGCCCGCGUACCAUUAGCUUGUUGGUGGGGUAAAGGCCCACCAAGGCGACGAUGGUUAGCUGGUCUGAGAGGAUGAUCAGCCACACUGGAACUGGAACACGGUCCAGACUCCUACGGGAGGCAGCAGUGAGGAAUUUUGCGCAAUGGGGGUAACCCUGACGCAGCAACGCCGCGUGAGUGAUGAAGGCCUUCGGGUCGUAAAGCUCUGUCAAGUGGGAAGAACCCAUUCCGGCACAACAAGCCGGGGUGCUGACGGUACCACUGAAGGAAGCACCGGCUAACUCCGUGCCAGCAGCCGCGGUGAUACGGAGGGUGCGAGCGUUAUUCGGAAUUACUGGGCGUAAAGGGCGCGUAGGCGGCCGAUUAAGUCAGAUGUGAAAUCCCGGGGCUUACCCCCGGAAGUGCAUUUGAUACUGAACGGCUUGAGUAUGGGAGAGGGAAGUGGAAUUCCUGGUGUAGCGGUGAAAUGCGUAGAUAUCAGGAGGAACACCGGUGGCGAAGGCGACUUCCUGGACCAAUACUGACGCUGAGGCGCGAAGGCGUGGGGAGCAAACAGGAUUAGAUACCCUGGUAGUCCACGCAGUAAACGGUGAUCACUAGGUGUAGCGGGUAUUGACCCCUGCUGUGCCGGAGUUACCGCAUUACGUGAUCCGCCUG
rnacentral:rRNA from 1 species